rnacentral:lncRNA from 1 species
GCCCAUCAUAGCGUAUUGUUCACGGAGUUAUAGCUGUUUCUCAUGACGUCUAGGGUUUGAGCCCAAAUAGCUUUCUUUUUACAUUAUAAAUAAAACACUACCCCUUCUUCAUCAGCCAUCACACCCUUCAGGCCUUCACCAAAACUAAUCACUGUAUAGCUUUCUUUUUCCUAAUCUCCCAUCGUUAUUCUCAAUUUAAGUUCUAAGUGUUUUGAUCGGCUUAUUGAUCUACAAAUUCAUGAUAUGGAAGGGGAUUUUUUUAUGGGAUUUGCAGAUCUUAUUUUCCCAGACGAGGAUAAUAGUGGGAUGGGGAUAACUCCAGACAGUCUAUUGAAAAGAUUUACCAGGCUUUAAAUAUCGACAUGAUUUAGUUCGAGAUGUGCUUCAUGAUGUUCUUGGAUGGGAAUGAGGGAAACACGUGUGCGUUGAUUUGACAGGUGUGUCCCUCCUUAUUUGGCUAAGGGACCACGAGUUUGGGGCGGGCCAGACGAUAACCAAGGCGGAGACCGGCAAAGUAGCUAAGCACGAAAAAAUUUGUAUCGAGAAUCAGCACGUGUUCGUCCUGUUCGCUUUCGAUACCUUCGGCGCUCUCGCCCCUGACGCGGUGCGGUUGCUCAAGCAAGUUCAGCAGGUGGCAAGCAGUAACACCGCGCAUGUUAAUGGGCAGAAUUUUGUGUUUAGUAGGGUAGGGUUUGCUAUUCAGAAGAGGGUAGCGGCGCAGCUUGUUGCCCGUCUAUCUGCCAAUAGUUUGUAAUCGUCCCUGUUUUAAAGGUUAUAUAACAUAUGAUGAACCAAUUGUGAGAAAGAGAGAGAUUGCUUCUAAAAAAAAUUAACUGAGGCUUUGGUGAUCGGCGUAACGUAAUUGUAAUUUAAUAGGAGUCGUGAUUGUGAUUUAACAAGAGUCAGAUGAUUGAAUAGUUGGUUAUGAGUUAUGACUCAAUUU